GACGAACGCUGGCGGCGUGCUUAACACAUGCAAGUCGAACGGAAAGGCCCUGCUUGCAGGGUACUCGAGUGGCGAACGGGUGAGUAACACGUGGGUGAUCUGCCCUGCACUUCUGGAUAAGCCUGGGAAACUGGGGCUAAUACCGGGUAGGAGCCAGUUUUAGUGUGAUGGGUGGAAAGUUUUUUCGGUGUAGGAUGAGCUCGCGGCCUAUCAGCUUGUUGGUGGGGUAAUGGCCUACCAAGGCGGCGACGGGUAGCCGGCCUGAGAGGGUGGACGGCCACAUUGGGACUGAGAUACGGCCCAGACUCCUACGGGAGGCAGCAGUGGGGAAUAUUGCACAAUGGGCGCAAGCCUGAUGCAGCGACGCCGCGUGGGGGAUGACGGCCUUCGGGUUGUAAACUCCUUUCGCUAGGGACGAAGCUUUUUGUGACGGUACCUAGAUAAGAAGCACCGGCUAACUACGUG
rnacentral:rRNA from 1 species